rnacentral:tRNA from 1 species
GGGUGAAUGGCUGAGUGGUCGAAAGCAUUAGUUUUGAAAGCUAAAACAUUUAACAUAUGUCGCAGGUUCGAAUCCUGCUUUAUCCG